GACCUUUAUCUUUCCAAUUGAUCCAAGAAUCAAACUUUGAAUUGCAACUUUCGUUUUAAUCAGUUUGAAGUUCUGACACUGAUCCUUCUCUGCCUCCGCAACUCAAACCCUAACCUAUCUAUUCAUAUAAGCAUCUCUCGAUCAGGUGUUCGAUGAAAAGGCUAGACCAAAUCUAUGGUAAAUGUAUUGCUCACCAUUGAAACGAAGCCACCUUGAAAUCGACAUGAUUUCGGAAAUAGUCUUGCUAUCUAUCUUUAUUGUUGCUUUAUGCAUAACUUUUUUCUCUGUGUGAAGGUGUUUUGUCACCGAGUAUGUUUCAUAUUAUAAUACCCAUUACUUUGUAGAUAUACAUGAAGCUUGUGUGUGUUGCUGAAGCUUACUUUAUAAUCAGAGAUGUCAAUUGCAAGAUGAAUUUGGUGAGCUUCUUGUAAAUUGUUUGUGAGUUUCUUGAAUUCUCAUUUUGUAGUGAUUUUAUAUUUGUAAAUUUGAUUCAUUAAAGGGAUUACAACUCCAAUAUCCAAUAAAGUUGGUAUUCUUGGAGCUA